rnacentral:tRNA from 1 species
GCCCAUAUCGUCUAGUGGUUAGGACCUCGCGCUUUCAAUGCGGCAACGGGGGUUCAAUUCCCCCUAUGGGUA